GCGGGGCGUCUCCAAGCGCUUUGACUUCGCUCGCGGAGAGGCCUCCAAAGGUGUUCCUACUGAAGACUGGGUGCAGGGCUUCAAGCAGCAUGGAAACUGCUGGUGAUACCCAUGUCCAGGUGUUUAGGCACACAGUGAGAGAGAGAGGCAGAGACAUAGGCAGAGGGAGAAGUAGGCUCCAUGCACCGGCAGCCCAAUGUGGGAUUCGAUCCCGGGUCUCCAGGAUCGCGCCCUGGGCCAAAGGCAGGCGCUAAACCGCUGAGCCACCCAGGAAUCCCCGAUUCUACAGAAUUUAAAAACUAUCUCAUCAUCAAAAUCCUCAGAGUUCUUUCUUACUCGUAAAUUCUUACCCCCAUUGAAGUCAUUUAGAUCCACACAAAAACUGGGAAAUAAAGUAAAAAUAUAUUUAUCUUAUUAGUGUUUUCACUUUAAUUUCACAUCUGGUUUUCGUUACUGUAUCCAAACAGAAAUUAAAUUACUUUGUCCAAAUAAAUAAUACCACCACCUUAUAGGAGUAUGUACUUUUUAUAUUGGUUGGCUAUUGAUAUUCUAUCCAGAAAACUGUCUACUAUAGCAUGAAAACAAGAUAUAAGGCUGGAAAGAAAAGUCUAAACAGAUUACUUGGAACAAAUACACUUGAACAAAAAGCAAAAGUUGUUUGCUCAGACUGCUGGGUAUUUUAUUUAGACGAAUGCUUCACAAACUAUCUCUGUUUUGCAAGCUAAUAAUAGAUUUCCCUUGAAAUGAAUUAUUAAUUUCCUGAAAUGUGUUGGCAAAAUGCUGCACAGUGUGAAUUAUAACACAAAUUAACUAAGUUUUUCAGAAGCCCUACUGAAAAAAAUCCAUUAUACUUAAAUACCCAUUUAAACAUACCUCAGAUCACUAAUAAUUUCAGAUCUGUCUGGGAAAUUCAAAUUUUCAUAACUCUUCCCAGGUAUGUUUUCCCUUUUGUUAAUCAUUUCUGUCAGUCAGCAUUUGCUUGCAGAGUACUGAAGUAGAAAGAAAUUUAUUGAAGUGUGUUAAAUGACCUAUAGAAUUUGGAGGAAAAAUUAAGUAACAAGACAUUAGGCUGAAUUUCCAACAAAGACGCUGAAGCUACACCACAAAAC